UACGUAGGGACCGAGCGUUGUCCGGAAUCAUUGGGCCUAAAGCAUCCGUAGCCGGUUCUACAAGUCUUCCGUUAAAUCCACCUGCUUAACAGAUGGGCUGCGGAAGGUACUAUGGAGCUAGGAGGCGGGAGAGGCAAGCGGUACUCGAUGGGUAGGGGUAAAAUCCGUUGAUCCAUUGAAGACCACCAGUGGCGAAGGCGGCUUGCCAGAGCGCGCUCGACGGUGAGGGAUGAAAGCUGGGGGAGCAAACCGG
rnacentral:rRNA from 1 species